rnacentral:rRNA from 1 species
UACGUAGGGACCAAGCGUUGUCCGGAAUCAUUGGGCGUAAAGAGCGUGUAGGCGGCUUGUUAAGUCUUGCGUGAAAUCUCGGGGCUCAACCCCGAGCGGUCGUGAGAAACUGGCAGGCUAGAGUGCGGGAGAGGAGAGUGGAAUUCCCGGUGUAGCGGUGAAAUGCGCAGAUAUCGGGAGGAACACCAGUAGCGAAGGCGGCACUCUGGGCCGGUACUGACGCUGAGGAGCGAAAGCGUGGGGAGCAAACAGG